UACGUAGGGGGCGAGCGUUGUCCGGAUUCAUUGGGCGUAAAGCGCGGGCAGGCGGCCCGCUCAGUCGGCCGUGAAAGCGCCGGGCUCAACUCGGCGCGGUCGGGCGAUACUGGCGGGCUGGAGGCUGGUAGAGGGCGGUGGAAUUCCGGGUGUAGUGGUGGAAUGCGUAGAGCUCCGGAGGAACACCAGUGGCGAGGACGGCCGGCCCUGGGCCAGGUCCGUCGAGGC
rnacentral:rRNA from 1 species